rnacentral:tRNA from 5 species
GCGGCCAUCGUAUAUCGGCUAUUAUGUCGCCUUGCCAAGGCGGAAAGAGGGGUUCAACUCCCCUUGGCCGCACCA